AUUCGCAACGCGUGGCAUUUUCACUAUGCGUUGGUUUUAGUGUUUAAGGCGGUAUGCAGCGGCUUUGGUAUUGCGUUGCUCACCCCUUAACAGGGCGUUAUGUGAAUGGAGGUCGAAAUUGUCUUCUGUACCAAAAAAUAAGGAUGAAUUGGAGUUAGCCAUAAACUCAAUAUUUCCCAAACUAAU
rnacentral:rRNA from 1 species